AACGAACGCUGGCGGCAUGCCUAACACAUGCAAGUCGAACGAAACCUUCGGGUCUAGUGGCGCACGGGGGCGUCACGCGUGGGAACCUGCCCUUAGGUUCGGAAUAACUCCCCGAAAGGGGUGCUAAUACCGGAUAAUGUCUUCUGACCAAAGAUUUAUCGCCUUUGGAUGGGCCAGAGUUGGAUUAGGUGGUUGGUAGGGUAAAAGCCUAACAAGGGGCCGAUCCAUAGCUUGGCUGAGAGGAAGAUUAGCCACACCUGGAGUGGGACACGGCCCAGAAUCCUACGCGAUGGAGCAGAGGGUGAUAUUGGAACACGGGGGGAAUGAUGAUGCAGCAAGGCUGGGAGAGUUCUGAAGGCAGUAGGGUUCUAAAGCGCAAGUAACCGGGAUGAUAAUGACAGUACCGGGAGAAUAAGCCCCGGCUAACUACGUG
rnacentral:rRNA from 1 species